GGCAAGGUGCCGGAGUUGGUUAACGGGUACGCCUCGAAUUCUGUUCGACACCGGUUGCGGUGGUUAGCGUAUGGGCUCUGCCCGCACAGGUUCGAAUCCUGUUCUUGUCG
rnacentral:tRNA from 1 species